rnacentral:rRNA from 1 species
GCGCAGCAGUCGCGAAAACUCCGCAAUACGCGAAAGCGUGACGGGGCCAUCCCGAGUGCCGUCCGCUGAGGAUGGCUUUUCCCCUGUGUAGAUAGCUGGGGGAAUAAGGAGAGGGCAAGUCUGGUGUCAGCCGCCGCGGUAAUACCAGCUCUUCGAGUGGUAGGGAUGUUUAUUGGGCCUGAAGCAUCCGUAGCUGGCUGAACAAGUCCUCCGUUAAAUCCAGCGAUUUAAUCGUUGGAUUGCGGGGGAUACUGCUCGGCUAGGGGGUGGGAGAGGCCAACGGUAUUCUCGGGGUAGGGGUGAAAUCCUAUAAUCCCGGGAGGACCACCAGUGGCGAAGGCUGUUGGCUAGAACACGCCCGACAGUGAGGGAUGAAAGCUGGGGGAGCGAACCGGAUUAGAUAUGAAGUUGAGUUUUUGCCAGCUUCACUAGAAACCCCGGUAGUCC